AAAAGCAUCCUUAAUUACUGAGGCAUUAGAAACCUCCCACCCUGCUUGGAGUGCCUUUCCAAAGUGAAGCUAGAGGAGUGUUUCUCAAGCCUCUGUUUCUCACGGGAAGCUUUGGCCCUUGCAAGUGAUGGACUCUGGUGCUGCAAGGGAAAACCACCUGGUAAUGAUCAAAGGAGAUAGGUUGAAGUUCUCCUGGAAAGAUGGACAUGUCAGACAACAAUGUAUGACCUGCUCUGGUGGACCCUUCUCCUCCCUCUAAAAAACACCCUGAUAUCAUCACUGCAAGGUUCUCUCAGAAAUCAUCACUGAUCUAAAAAGGGGAUGACUGAAACAUAUACCUAUUUGAAGAUUCCUGGAACCCAGUUAGACCAGAAGAAGCUCAAAUGGAACCUGAAUUACACCAUGUUGGUGAGAUUCCAACUACUGUCAGCACGUGGACUCAUUUACAUGAUAGAAAGAAGCAGCAAGUCACCAACAAUUAGUAGAAGAUACCCAUAGGUUAAAAGAAAAGUGGAUGUAAUAUAGUCAAUUUAUCAUACAUUUGGGGAAUUUCAAGCUUCUGGUUUUAUUUAAUGAAUAAAGAAGAAUGUUCAAGAAGACAAAGUACCUACACAGCCUAAAAAGAAGAAAAUUCUGUCAUUUGCAACAAUGUGGAUGAACCUGGAGACAUUGUCCUAAGUGAAAUAAGCCAGCCACAGAAAGACAAAUACUGCAUGAUCUCACUUGUAUGUGAAAUCUAAAAAGUCAAACUCAUAGAAGCAGAGAGUAAAAUCAUGGUUGCUGGAGGCUGUGGAAGUGGGAAAUGAGAAAGAGAUGUUGGUAAAGGGUAUAAAGUUUCAGUUAGAAGGAGUAAGUCUUAGUGCUCUAUUACACAGCGUGGUAACCAUGGUUGAUAAUGACAUAUACUUCAAAAUUUCUAAAAGAGUAGUUUUUAAAGGUCUUCAUUAUAAAAAAUAAAAAGUAGAUGAGAUAAAGGGCAUGUUAAUUAGCUUGAUUUAAUCGUCCUACAAUCUAUACACAUAUUAAAAUAUCACAUUGUAUCCCAUAAAUACACACAACUAUUAUUUGUCUAUUAAAAAUUCUUUUAAUUAAAAUAAAUACAGGGAAAGGAGUUACUUCUUUUUUUUUUCAUUUUUGUAUAUUGAAGAAAAUUGCUCACAAUCUUAAGCCUUACUGUACAAAUAGUUAAAAGAGUAAGUUAGUAUGCCCUAUGGAUUGGUUACACUUUUAACUUUACCAAAAAUGUAUUUACAGGUGUGGUAAAGGAGGUAUUCAUCAUAUUGUUUGUGAUUUAAAACCUUAAAUUGUGCACAAUUACAAUUGGAUGACAGUUCUAGAGCUUUCCUUUGUUUCAUCAGUCAUGCUAACUGAUCUUUCAGAAUGGAUGCUAAUUUCUCUGUGUUUCAAAGACAGCUUUAUGAAUGUCAUAGGUUAAAGGGAGAAAAUGCCACAUCAAUUUGAUUAAUAUUCUGAGCUAAUGGAAAAAGAAUGAUUGAUUUUAAUUUCCUUCACUACAACAACCAUACCUGUAGAAUGAUGUGCUGGAAAAUGAAGAAAAGAACUGAUGUGGUACUUGUAGAGGCAGCUAUAACAAAGGUUAAGACCUGAAACUCCACAGUUUGACAACUCAUAUUCUAACUCUGGCUUGACAUUUAUAAAUGCCUGUUUCCACAUGGGUUUAUUGGGGAUUAAAUAGAUACUACAUAUAAAGCACCUAAAAUAGUGCCUGGUACAACAGUGUGAUACCUCUACAAACCCACCAGGAUACCUAAAAUAAAAACAUUCAAAUAAUACUAAAUGUGAAAAAAGAAUGUGGAACAUCUAAAACUCAUAUAUUGCUACUUGCAAAUAAUAGAACCUCAGUAAAGAAGUACAUAAAACAUUAGAAAAUAUGUUAGCAGUCACUGGUCCUAGAGGUUUAGGUUUGUAACAAAUUUUGGUGUUUCUUUUUCUAAUUUUAAUAUUUCCUUUUCCUUACUCAAUAAUGAGGGUACGGUUAGCAAAUAAAAGAAAUUAUAUUUAAAUGUCACUGUUCUUCAAAGGAUUUUAGACACUCCAUCAACAUUUUCAUUUUCAUUCUCAUUGUUCAACAUCCUACUAUGUUAUUUGGACUCAUUUCUUCCUGUGACAUAAAAAUAUAUCCAGUAGGGCUCCCAGUGAAUUUAAUCUGACUCCUUUUGGCAAAAGAGACCUCAGAUGAAUGUUAGAUUCUAGAGCUUUGGCAAGGCAAGCAGUCGGUCGGUCAUGCUUCAAUAUUCCCUUAUCUCAUUAACCACCUCACCACUUUCCUACAUUAAACAGAAAACAGUUCCUGAAAAUCUGUGUCUGGAAGAUUUCUCCCUUCAGCUUAAUAGAACACCUGUUGUAGUGGCCAACAUCCUGUGACUUCACAUGGUUUCAUCACGAAAAGUGAUGAAAAAAAAUACUAGCCUUAAAAAGCAUUCCAUCCUGACCAUCAGCUUCAAAGUGGUCUUGCCUGGUCCACAGAGGCUGUGUACAAGAUGCUUCUGUGUCAUGUGUUUCACCUUCUGAUGUAAACAGCCAAGUUUUACCUUACUUUAAUAUUAAAUCUCCACCCCAAAGUGAUCAAGUGAUCAUGGGACAUAGGUACCAUAUAUGCAUGCGUUAGGGUUCCCUCAUAAAUAUUCAUAAGAUUCUCCUAUAUCCUACUAUAUUUGUAUGCAUACCUAAUCUCAAAAAGAAAUCUCAGUCUCUCUACCUUUUGUCUCUGAAGCACCUGCUUUCAACUUCUGCCAGAGGUUCUGUUCCCCAACCUACAGGCUGUAAUUUUUUACAAGAAACAAAGCUCUCCUUUUCUGCUUUUAUAGAUCUUAUUGUUUUAAGUUGACAUUCUUUACCACAGGCUCUUUCUUCAGCUCCAAGUUUCUGUUAAAUGGCUAUGUAUGGCAAUAUUACUAUUUUUUUUACUUUGCUGUUUCUAUAUAGAACUGUUCCUAAGGCCUUAGUGUUUUCCCUCCUCAGAUUUCUAUCAAGGUAUUUUCUAAGCAAAGGUAAAUGCCUUCUUCUUUUUAGGAAUUCAGAGCCAGCUGUAAACAUAGAAAUUAUUUCUCUUCAACCCACCUUCUCGUUUGACCAAAACAGAACACUAUUUUUUUUUCUCAUUUGCCUAUGGAUGAUGAAAGAAAUUUAAUUGUGUGGGAUAAGUCAAGGUUUCAGCUGUAAGUUUAGUUUUGGUUCUCUAGAUGUGACACCUGUUAAGAUGAGCAAAUGAAGACUGGCCUGUAGUAGAUUAGCUACCUUUAUGAAAGACUACAAAUCAUUUUGUACUAAAUAGUUAAUAUUUCUGUGAUAAUCCAAUAAUCACACUGGAGUCAGGGAGAGAAGACCCAAGCCCUGUUUCCAGGUAUCCUACUCUUUUCGUGAUUUGGGGAAAGGCAUUUUAUCUCUUCGGUGAAAGUGUUUUCAUUUGUAAGAUGAAUACAUUUGAUCAGUUGAUCUCUUUCUAAAGUAAUGAUGUUGACCUAUUUAAAAGAUACUAUUUUAAAAUACAUAAACUUGCUUCCAAGCUUGUGAUCUUUUGGUUUACCAAAGAUAGUACAUGACUCUAUAUUCAAUAGCUUCUUGGCUAUUUUAAAAAUAACAUUUCAUUUUUUUAAAAAAUUAUAGAAUACUUCAGCUGUGUGGGAGGAAAAAAAAUCUUCUAAUUAUAGGAGGAUAGCAAUAUCUACCCAAAAGACCUUAAUAUAGAACAACCAUAUUUUCUUUUUUCAGUUCACAGGUUUAAUUCAUAUAACUUAGGAAACUGGAAGAUG